rnacentral:rRNA from 1 species
UACGGAGGAUGCGAGCGUUAUCCGGAUUUAUUGGGUUUAAAGGGUGCGUAGGCGGACGGUCAAGUCAGCGGUAAAAAUGCGGUGCUCAACGCCGUACAGCCGUUGAAACUGUUUUUCUUGAGUAUCGGAGAGGUAAUCGGAAUUCCUAGUGUAGCGGUGAAAUGCGUAGAUAUUAGGAAGAACACCAGUGGCGAAGGCGGAUUACUGGACGACAACUGACGGUGAGGCGCGAAAGCGUGGGGAGCAAACAGG